GAUGAACGCUAGCGACAGGCCUAACACAUGCAAGUCGAGGGGUAACAUUAUUAAAGCUUGCUUUAAUAGAUGACGACCGGCGCACGGGUGCGUAACGCGUAUGCAACCUACCCAUUACAGGAGGAUAGCCCAGAGAAAUUUGGAUUAAUACUCCAUAGUAUUUACUGAAAGCAUUUUUAGUAUUUUAAAAGAUUCGUCUGGUAAUGGAUGGGCAUGCGUAUGAUUAGUUAGUUGGUAGGGUAACGGCCUACCAAGACGACGAUCAUUAGGGGUUCUGAGAGGAUAGUCCCCCACACUGGUACUGAGACACGGACCAGACUCCUACGGGAGGCAGCAGUGAGGAAUAUUGGUCAAUGGGCGAGAGCCUGAACCAGCCAAGUCGCGUGCAGGACGACUGCCCUAUGGGUUGUAAACUGCUUUUAUAUAGGAAUAAUUGUUUCUACGUGUAGGGAUUUGAAUGUACUAUAUGAAUAAGCACCGGCUAACUCCGUGCCAGCAGCCGCGGUAAUACGGAGGGUGCAAGCGUUAUCCGGAUUUAUUGGGUUUAAAGGGUGCGUAGGCGGGUUCAUAAGUCAGUGGUGAAAGUCUGUCGCUUAACGAUAGAAUUGCCAUUGAAACUGUGGAUCUUGAAUACAGUAGAGGUAGGCGGAAUAUAUUGUGUAGCGGUGAAAUGCAUAGAUACGAUAUAGAACACCUAUUGCGAAGGCAGCUUACUAUGCUGUAAUUGACGCUGAUGCACGAAAGCGUGGGGAGCGAACAGG
rnacentral:rRNA from 1 species